UCAUGAAGGUUGAUAAAUUUUUUAGCAUUUCACACUUUAUUGAUGUCUGGACGUUUACUGACAUGUGUUUGAUCCCUGCAGGUGAACACGGUUGUCUUUGAUAUAACAGGAACUCUGACAGUUGGGAAACGGUAGUUAAUGCAGUGCUCGUUUCCAAUUACUCAAUUGAGGAGUUCUGUGCUGUAUCUAUUGCCACAGAGUUUCCAGCUCAUAGCAAGGGAAGGACGCCAUGGGAGCCUCUUUACAGGCCUGCGGGCGCCAGAAGUACGUCGAAACCGGACGCAAAGUCCACAACUUGGUCUCUGCGUUGACCGUUUUCAACUGUGAUUUUGUUCUCAACACACGCAUCAUUACCAUGUGCAAUGUGCGGUUCUCCUUUGGAUUCCCGCUCAGUUUUCGACGGGCUGAAGAGGAAGAACUUGUUCCAGUGGAAUGCGCUUGUUAGUGGGCAAUGCGUUGAUUGCAAUGUAUGGGAAAUGCGGGUCGGUUGAGGAUGCAGCUAAAGUGUUCGAGAUAAUGCCUGAGAAGAAUUGUGAUUUGUUUGAAUUGUAAGAGGCUGCUAAAGACGUUUGGAUCAACUGAACAUGUGAUGGAGGCUAAGGAUUUUGAGGUGCACACAGGAGCUGGCGUUAGUGGAAGAGUUGGUGGCAAAAUGGUUUUGGUUGGGACUUAAUAUGUGUUUACAAAUUAAUAUUUCUUGUAGUUUAAGCAAAUACCAAGCCAAAGUUCCUCUAAAAUAACGGUAUCUUUUAUUUAUUAGGCCAAGCAUAAAAUGAGAUACAUAUAUAGUAUUAUGGGAAUA